rnacentral:pre_miRNA from 1 species
UAUGUACUCCCUCCGUUCCAAAAUACUUGACUUCCAUUUGUCCAAAAAUGGAUGUACCUAUAUACUAAAACAUGUCUAGAUACAUAUAUAUUUUUACAAAUAGAAGGCAUGUAUUGUGCAACGGAGGGAGUAGAAU